rnacentral:rRNA from 1 species
GACGAACGCUGGAGGCAGGCCUAACACAUGCAAGUCGAACGAGUGGCGGACGGGUGAGUAAUGUCUGGGAAACUGCCCGAUGGAGGGGGAUAACUACUGGAAACGGUAGCUAAUACCGCAUACCAUCGGAUGUGCCCAGAUGGGAUUGGAUAGUAGGGGGGGUAACGGCUCACCUAGGCAACGAGCCCUAGCUGGUAUGAGAGGAUGACCAGCCACAAUGGAACUGAGACACGGUCCAGACUCCUACGGGAGGCAGCAGUGGGGAAUAUUGCACAAUGGGCGCAAGCCUGAUGCAGCCAUGCCGCGUGUAUGAAGAAGGCCUUCGGGUUGUAAAGUACUUUCAGCGAGGAGGCGUUACUCGCAGAAGAAGCACCGGCUAACUCCGUGCCAGCAGCCGCGGUAAUAC